rnacentral:rRNA from 1 species
GGGUUGUGAGGUUAAGCGACUAAGCGUACACGGUGGAUGCCCUGGCAGUCAGAGGCGAUGAAGGACGUGCUAAUCUGCGAUAAGCGUCGGUAAGGUGAUAUGAACCGUUAUAACCGGCGAUUUCCGAAUGGGGAAACCCAGUGUGAUUCGUCACACUAUCAUUAACUGAAUCCAUAGGUUAAUGAGGCGAACCGGGGGAACUGAAACAUCUAAGUACCCCGAGGAAAAGAAAUCAACCGAGAUUCCCCCAGUAGCGGCGAGCGAACGGGGAGCAGCCCAGAGCCUGAAUCAGUGUGUGUGUUAGUGGAAGCGUCUGGAAAGGCGCGCGAUACAGGGUGACAGCCCCGUACACAAAAAUGCACAUACUGUGAGCUCGAUGAGUAGGGCGGGACACGUGGUAUCCUGUCUGAAUAUGGGGGGACCAUCCUCCAAGGCUAAAUACUCCUGACUGACCGAUAGUGAACCAGUACCGUGAGGGAAAGGCGAAAAGAACCCCGGCGAGGGGAGUGAAAAAGAACCUGAAACCGUGUACGUACAAGCAGUGGGAGCCUCUUUAUGGGGUGACUGCGUACCUUUUGUAUAAUGGGUCAGCGACUUAUAUUCUGUAGCAAGGUUAACCGAAUAGGGGAGCCGAAGGGAAACCGAGUCUUAACUGGGCGUUAAGUUGCAGGGUAUAGACCCGAAACCCGGUGAUCUAGCCAUGGGCAGGUUGAAGGUUGGGUAACACUAACUGGAGGACCGAACCGACUAAUGUUGAAAAAUUAGCGGAUGACUUGUGGCUGGGGGUGAAAGGCCAAUCAAACCGGGAGAUAGCUGGUUCUCCCCGAAAGCUAUUUAGGUAGCGCCUCGUGAAUUCAUCUCCGGGGGUAGAGCACUGUUUCGGCAAGGGGGUCAUCCCGACUUACCAACCCGAUGCAAACUGCGAAUACCGGAGAAUGUUAUCACGGGAGACACACGGCGGGUGCUAACGUCCGUCGUGAAGAGGGAAACAACCCAGACCGCCAGCUAAGGUCCCAAAGUCAUGGUUAAGUGGGAAACGAUGUGGGAAGGCCCAGACAGCCAGGAUGUUGGCUUAGAAGCAGCCAUCAUUUAAAGAAAGCGUAAUAGCUCACUGGUCGAGUCGGCCUGCGCGGAAGAUGUAACGGGGCUAAACCAUGCACCGAAGCUGCGGCAGCGACACUAUGUGUUGUUGGGUAGGGGAGCGUUCUGUAAGCCUGUGAAGGUGUGCUGUGAGGCAUGCUGGAGGUAUCAGAAGUGCGAAUGCUGACAUAAGUAACGAUAAAGCGGGUGAAAAGCCCGCUCGCCGGAAGACCAAGGGUUCCUGUCCAACGUUAAUCGGGGCAGGGUGAGUCGACCCCUAAGGCGAGGCCGAAAGGCGUAGUCGAUGGGAAACAGGUUAAUAUUCCUGUACUUGGUGUUACUGCGAAGGGGGGACGGAGAAGGCUAUGUUGGCCGGGCGACGGUUGUCCCGGUUUAAGCGUGUAGGCUGGUUUUCCAGGCAAAUCCGGAAAAUCAAGGCUGAGGCGUGAUGACGAGGCACUACGGUGCUGAAGCAACAAAUGCCCUGCUUCCAGGAAAAGCCUCUAAGCAUCAGGUAACAUCAAAUCGUACCCCAAACCGACACAGGUGGUCAGGUAGAGAAUACCAAGGCGCUUGAGAGAACUCGGGUGAAGGAACUAGGCAAAAUGGUGCCGUAACUUCGGGAGAAGGCACGCUGAUAUGUAGGUGAAGUCCCUCGCGGAUGGAGCUGAAAUCAGUCGAAGAUACCAGCUGGCUGCAACUGUUUAUUAAAAACACAGCACUGUGCAAACACGAAAGUGGACGUAUACGGUGUGACGCCUGCCCGGUGCCGGAAGGUUAAUUGAUGGGGUUAGCGGUAACGCGAAGCUCUUGAUCGAAGCCCCGGUAAACGGCGGCCGUAACUAUAACGGUCCUAAGGUAGCGAAAUUCCUUGUCGGGUAAGUUCCGACCUGCACGAAUGGCGUAAUGAUGGCCAGGCUGUCUCCACCCGAGACUCAGUGAAAUUGAACUCGCUGUGAAGAUGCAGUGUACCCGCGGCAAGACGGAAAGACCCCGUGAACCUUUACUAUAGCUUGACACUGAACAUUGAGCCUUGAUGUGUAGGAUAGGUGGGAGGCUUUGAAGUGUGGACGCCAGUCUGCAUGGAGCCGACCUUGAAAUACCACCCUUUAAUGUUUGAUGUUCUAACGUUGGCCCCUGAUCGGGGUUGCGGACAGUGUCUGGUGGGUAGUUUGACUGGGGCGGUCUCCUCCUAAAGAGUAACGGAGGAGCACGAAGGUUGGCUAAUCCUGGUCGGACAUCAGGAGGUUAGUGCAAUGGCAUAAGCCAGCUUGACUGCGAGCGUGACGGCGCGAGCAGGUGCGAAAGCAGGUCAUAGUGAUCCGGUGGUUCUGAAUGGAAGGGCCAUCGCUCAACGGAUAAAAGGUACUCCGGGGAUAACAGGCUGAUACCGCCCAAGAGUUCAUAUCGACGGCGGUGUUUGGCACCUCGAUGUCGGCUCAUCACAUCCUGGGGCUGAAGUAGGUCCCAAGGGUAUGGCUGUUCGCCAUUUAAAGUGGUACGCGAGCUGGGUUUAGAACGUCGUGAGACAGUUCGGUCCCUAUCUGCCGUGGGCGCUGGAGAACUGAGGGGGGCUGCUCCUAGUACGAGAGGACCGGAGUGGACGCAUCACUGGUGUUCGGGUUGUCAUGCCAAUGGCACUGCCCGGUAGCUAAAUGCGGAAGAGAUAAGUGCUGAAAGCAUCUAAGCACGAAACUUGCCCCGAGAUGAGUUCUCCCUGACUCCCUGAGAGUCCUGAAGGAACGUUGAAGACGACGACGUUGAUAGGCCGGGUGUGUAAGCGCAGCGAUGCGUUGAGCUAACCGGUACUAAUGAACCGUGAGGCUUAACCUUACAACGCCGAAG